GGCACUGUGGCGGAGUGGUCAACGCGACAGACUCGAAUCCCUGGAGAACAAGAUAGUUUUAAUCUCUUCCACUUAUUGGGCGCAUGUCCGAAUCAUGCCAGUGUCG